UACAGAGGGUGCAAACGUUGUUCGGAAUUACUGGGCGUAAAGCGCGUGCAGGCGGCCUUGCAAGUCGGACGUGAAAUCCCACGGCUCAACCGUGGAAGUGCAUUCGAAACUGCGAGGCUGGAGUCCUGGAGAGGAAAGUGGAAUACUCGGUGUAGAGGUGAAAUUCGUAGAUAUCGAGUGGAACACCGGUGGCGAAGGCGGCUUUCUGGGACAGGUACUGACGCUGAGACGCGAAAGCGUGGGAGCAAACAGG
rnacentral:rRNA from 1 species